rnacentral:rRNA from 1 species
AGAGUUUGAUCCUGGCUCAGAACGAACGCUGGCGGCAGGCUUAACACAUGCAAGUUGAACGUGAUUUGCUGGGUGCUUGCACCGAGCAAUGAAAGUAGCGCACUGGUGAGUAACACGUGGGAACGUACCUUUUGGUGGGGAACAACAGUUGGAAACGACUGCUAAUACCGCAUAAGCCCUGAGGGGGAAAGAUUUAUCGCCGAAAGAACGGCCCGCGGAAGAUUAGGUAGUUGGUGGGGUAACGGCCUACCAAGCCGACGAUCUAUAGCUGGUCUGAGAGGACGAUCAGCCACAUUGGAACUGAGACACGGUCCAAACUCCUACGGGAGGCAGCAGUGAGGAAUAUUGGGCAAUGGAGGCAACUCUGACCCAGCCAUGCCGCGUGAGUGAAGAAGGUUUUCGGAUUGUAAAGCUCUUUCGGGUGUGACGAUGAUGACGGUAGCACCUAAAGAAGCCCCGGCUAACUUCGUGCCAGCAGCCGCGGUAAUACGAAGGGGGCAAGCGUUGUUCGGAAUUACUGGGCGUAAAGGGAGUGUAGGCGGUUAUGUAAGAUAGUGGUGAAAUCCCAGAGCUUAACUUUGGAAUUGCCAUUAUGACUAUGUGGCUAGAAUUACAGAGAGGAUAGUGGAAUACCCAGUGUAGAGGUGAAAUUCGUAGAUAUUGGGUAGAACACCAGUGGCGAAGGCGACUAUCUGGCUGUAUAUUGACGCUGAGGCUCGAAAGCAUGGGGAUCAAACAGGAUUAGAUACCCUGGUAGUCCAUGCUGUAAACGAUGAGUGCUUGUUGUCGGUAUUGUAUCGGUGACGAAGUUAACGCGUUAAGCACUCCGCCUGGGGAGUACGGUCGCAAGAUUAAAACUCAAAGGAAUUGACGGGGACCCGCACAAGCGGUGGAGCAUGUGGUUUAAUUCGAUGCAACGCGAAGAACCUUACCAACUCUUGACAUCCUUAUCGGGGAGAUCAGAGAUGAUUUCUUUCAGUUAGGCUGGAUAAGUGACAGAUGCUGCAUGGCUGUCGUCAGCUCGUGUCGUGAGAUGUU